CCUACGGGUGGCAGCAGUGGGGGAUAUUGGACAAUGGGGGAAACCCUGAUCCAGCGAUGCCGCGUGAGGGAAGAAGGUUCUCGGAUUGUAAACCCUCGUGGAGGGGGACGAUAAUGACGGUACCUCUCUAGGAAGCUACGGCUAACUACGUGCCAGCAGCCGCGGUAAUACGUAGGUGGCGAGCGUUGUCCGGAAUUACUGGGUGUAAAGGGAGUGUAGGCGGGAAAGCAAGUCAGAAGUGAAAACUAUGGGCUUAACCCAUAGCCUGCUGUUGAAACUGUUUUUCUUGAGUGAAGUAGAGGCAGGCGGAAUGCCUGGUGUAGCGGUGAAAUGCGUAGAUAUUAGGAAGAACACCGGUGGCGAAGGCAGCUUGCUGGGCUUUUACUGACGCUGAUGCUCGAAAGCGUGGGGAGCAAACAGGAUUAGAUACCCUAGUAGUC
rnacentral:rRNA from 1 species